GCCAGUAGUCUAGUCAUAUGCUUGUCUCAAAUAAGCGAGUAUACUGUGAAAAGUAUAAGCAUACUGCGAACGAAACUGCGAAUGGCUCAUUAUGGUUUAUUUGAUGGUACCUUGCUACUUUACUUGGAUAACCGUAGUAAUUCUAGAGCUAAUACAUGCAGGAGUUCCCGACUUCGGAAGAAACCAAACCGGUCUCCGGUUGCGUGCUGAGGUCUCCGGUUGUGUGCUGAGUCAUAAUAACGAAUCGCACGGCUCUACGCCAAAUUUCUGCCCUAUCAGCUUCUGCCCUAUCAGCUUUCGAUGGUAGGAUAGAGGCCUACCAUGGCGUUAACGGGUAACGGAGAAUUAGGGUUCGAUUCCUUCCGGAGAGGGAGCCUGAGUGAGAAAUGGCUACCACAUCCAAGGAAGGCUCCUGACACAUAAAUUGCCCGAAUCCUGACACAGGGAGGUAGUGACAAGAAAUAACAAUACAGGGCUCUUGUCUUGUAAUUGGAAUGAGUACAAUUUACAUACAUCUCUUCACGAGGAUCAAUUGGAGGGCAAGUCUGGUGUAAUUCCAGGCGGUAAUUCGUAUAUUAAAAGCGUAUACUUUAAAACGCUCGCUCGUAGUAUUCCGGGGCGGAUUUCGGGGCGGGCCCGCGGGUACGCACUGGCGGGCGCCGCGUCCUUCCUCCCGGAGACGGCUGCUACUCUUAACUGAGCGGUGGCCGGAGACGGGAUGGGAUAUUUACUUUGAAAAAAUCAGAGUGUAGGCAGUCGCUCUUGCAUGGAUUAGCAUGGGGGAUAAUGAAAUAGGACUCUGGUGCUAUUUUGUUGGUUUGGUUUCGAGCACCGGAGUAAGAUUAACAGGCAGGGGCACUGGCACUCGUACGUAUUCCGCCGAGAGAGGUGACCAGCGGAAGACGAAUGACUGCGAAAGCAUUUGCCAGGAUUUGCCAGGGAUGUUUUCACUGAUCAAGAAACGAAAGUUGAUCGAAGACAGACGAUCAGUAGUCUUAACUUAACCAUAAACCAUGCCGAUUGGAGGAUGGAGGAUGUUCCAUUUGUGACUCCUUCAGCACCUUUCGGGAAACUAAAGUCGUUCCGGGGGGGGGGGAGUAGCAAGGCUGAGCUGAAACUUAAUUGACGGAACGGAAGGGCACCACCAGGAUGGGAGCCUGCGGCUUAAUUUGACUCAACACGGGGAAACUUACCAGGUCCAGACAAUGUGAGGAUUGACACGGCUUAAUUUCUCUCUUGUAUUCGACAAAGGGUGGUGGUGCAUGGCCGCUCUUAGUUGGUGGAGUGAUUUGUCUGGUUACGGGGAAACUCGAACGAGACCUAAAUAGCGUGCCGAACCCGCCGAACCCUUUGUUGGGCGUUCUUAGAGGGACAACUUGUUUGUCUUCAACAAGUGGAAGUUCGCGGCAAUAACAGGUCUUGCCCUUAGAUGUUCUGGGCGGCCGCACGCUACACUGAUGCAUUCAGCGAGUCUAUCACCUUGACCGAGAGAGAGGUCCGAAUCUUUUGAACUUGCAUCGAGAUUAUUGCAGAUUAUUGCAACUAUUAAUCUUCAACGAGGAAUUCCUAGCUAGUAAGCGAGCGCACGUUGAUUACGUCCUUACGUCCCUGCCCUUUGUAACACACCGCCCGUCGCUCCUACCGAUUGAAUGAUCCGGUGAGGCCCCCGGACUGCGGCGCUUCUCCAGCUCAGCUUUGGGGGCGUCGCGGCUGUCCGAACCGAACCUAUCAUUUAGAGGAUUAUCGGAAUGUAACAAGGUUUCCGUAGGUGUUAAGCUGUGGAAUUCUUAGCA
rnacentral:rRNA from 1 species